rnacentral:rRNA from 1 species
CCUGGCGGUAUGUUUAACACAUGCAAGUCGAACGGAAACGAUGGAAGCUUGCUUCCAGGCGUCGAGUGGCGAACGGGUGAGUAAUGCUUGGGAAUCUGCCCAAUAGUGGGGAACAACUCGGGGAAACUCGGGCUAAUACCGCAUAAUCCCUUCGGAGGAAAGGGGGCCUCUACAUGUAAGCUCUCGCUAAUGGAUGAGCCCAAGUCAGAUUAGCUUGUUGGUAAGGUAACGGCUUACCAAGGCUACGAUCUGUAGCUGGUCUG